GAAGCUUAGAGUUUCUUAUGUUCCACUCCACCAACGUGCCAUGGAGAGGAAACCUGUCAGCAAGCAGCACAUGAUGGUAGACAGAAGCUGAGAUGAGCCCUCAUUCAUGGAUGGGCUGCAAAACCAACUCCUUUCCUGUCCCUUCCACCAUCGUUUUGCUCCGUAUCACAGCUACAAGCAGGAACCUUCAGGACCAGAUGGAGUUUCAGUCCCUCCAGAGUCAAGAGCUCUCCCAACUCAAAGUCUUUCAAAGAACAGGAGCUUUCCCAGGCCUAUCUCAAGUACAGAAGCAUCUGAACUCAAGAAGUCAG
rnacentral:lncRNA from 1 species